GACGAACGCUGGCGGCGUGCUUAACACAUGCAAGUCGAACGGAAAGGCCCUGCUUUUGUGGGGUGCUCGAGUUGCGAACGGGUGAGUAACACGUGAGUAACCUGCCCUUGACUUUGGGAUAACUUCAGGAAACUGGGGCUAAUACCGGAUAGGAGCUCCUGCUGCAUGGUGGGGGUUGGAAAGUUUCGGCGGUUGGGGAUGGACUCGCGGCUUAUCAGCUUGUUGGUGGGGUAGUGGCUUACCAAGGCUUUGACGGGUAGCCGGCCUGAGAGGGUGACCGGACACAUUGGGACUGAGAUACGGCCCAGACCCCUACGGGAGGCAGCAGUGGGGAAUAUUGCACAAUGGGCGGAAGCAUGAUGCAGCAAAGCCGCGUGCGGGAUGACGGCAUUCGGGUUGUAAACCGCUUCCGCCUGUGACGAAGCGUGAGUGACGGUAAUGGGUAAAGAAGCACCGGCUAACUACGUG
rnacentral:rRNA from 1 species